rnacentral:rRNA from 1 species
CGUGAGCGGCGGACGGGUGAGUAACGCGUGGGUAACCGUGCCUCAUACAGGGGGAUAACAGUUGGAAACGGCUGCUAAUACCGCAUAAGCGCACAGUACCGCAUGGUACGGUGUGAAAAACUCCGGUGGUAUGGGAUGGACCCGCGUCUGAUUAGGUAGUUGGUGGGGUAACGGCCUACCAAGCCGACGAUCAGUAGCCGACCUGAGAGGGUGACCGGCCACAUUGGGACUGAGACACGGCCCAA